UACAGAGGUCUCGAGCGUUGUUCGGAUUCAUUGGGCGUAAAGGGUGCGUAGGUGGCGCUGUAAGUCAGGUGUGAAAUUUCGGAGCUUAACUCCGAAACUGCAUUUGAUACUGCGGUGCUUGAGGACUGGAGAGGAGACUGGAAUUUACGGUGUAGCAGUGAAAUGCGUAGAGAUCGUAAGGAAGACCAGUGGCGAAGGCGGGUCUCUGGACAGUUCCUGACACUGAGGCACGAAAGCGUGGGGAGCAAACAGG
rnacentral:rRNA from 1 species